AGUCAAACAACUAGCAGAACUUAAGACUUAUAAUUUAAAUAUUUUUAACCCAUUAAAAACUAAUACAGCUUAAACAAAUCAUUUUUCCACCUCAGUAUAGGAGAUAAAAAAGGUUUUACUAGCAACAGCGAAAGUACCGCAAGGGAACGUUGAAAAAGAAGUGAAAUAAUUAAGCAACACACGAAAAAGCAGAGAUUAGCACUCGUACCUUUUGCAUCAUGAUUUAGCAAGCGUUUACUAAGCAAAAAGAUUUAUAGUUUAAACACCCGAAACCAAGUGAGCUACUCCGAGCCAACCUUAUUGAAGGGUAAACCCGUCUCUGUAGCAAAAGAGUGGGGGGAGCUCCGAGUAGAGGCGAAAAACCUAUCGAACUUGGUCAUAGCUGGUUACCUGAGAAAUGGAUAGUAGUUCAGCAAUAUUAAUUCUUUACCCAACUUGCAAACCCACCUCCAGGCCUGAAGAAGUAAUAAUAGUUAGUCUAAAGAGGUCCAGCUCUUUAGAUACAGAAUACAAUCUACUGUAUGGAUAAAGAUCAAAUACUCCAAGGUAAACGCCCAAGUGGGCUUGAAAGCAGCCACCUUCUAGGAAAGCGUUAAAGCUCGUGUACACAAAUACUCUUAAUACCGAAAGUUUACUCUAAGUCCUUUAUAUGUAUCAGGUUAUGUUAUUUUAUUUAACAGAAAUAAUGCUAAUAUGAGUAAUAAGGGGGAAAGCCCCCCUCCUUGCAUAAGUGUCUAUCGGAACGAACUAUUCGCCGACUAUUAACGCCUUCUAAAAGAGAGAAGUAGGAACAUAAAAAACAACUAGAAAAAUACCUAAUCAACUGGCGUUGAACCCACACUGGUGUGCAUGUAAGGAAAGACUAAAAGGAAAAGAAGGAACUAGGCAAACAUUUUAAUUAAGCCUCGCCUGUUUACCAAAAACAUCGCCUCUUGUAAUGACAAACAUAGGAGGUCCUGCCUGCCCACUGACACAUUGUUUAACGGCCGCGGUAUUUUAACCGUGCAAAGGUAGCGUAAUCACUUGUCUUUUAAAUGAAGACCUGUAUGAAAGGCGUCACGAGGGCUUGACUGUCUCCUUUCCCCAGUCAAUUAAAUUGAUCCCCCCGUGCAGAAGCGGGGAUAAAAACAUAAGACGAGAAGACCCUAUGGAGCUUUAAACAUAUCAGAUUUACGUCACUACCCCCUAGUUAAAGGGUUAAACUAGUACCAUGCCUUGAAAAUGCUUUUGGUUGGGGCGACCACGGGAAAAUAAACAACUCCCACGACGAGGAGAAACAACACACCUCUCAAAAACUAAGACUACCAAGUCAAAGUCACAGAAACUCUGACAAAUGAUCCGGCUACUUGCCGAUUAACGAACCGAGUUACCCUAGGGAUAACAGCGCAAUCCUCUUUUAGAGCCCCUAUCGACAAGAGGGUUUACGACCUCGAUGUUGGAUCAGGACAUCCUAAUGGUGCAACCGUUAUUAAGGGUUCGUUUGUUCAACGAUUAAAGUCCUACGUGAUCUGAGUUCAGACCGGAGUAAUCCAGGUCAGUUUCUAUCUAUGAAACACUUUUUCUAGUACGAAAGGACCGAGGAAGUAAGGCCAAUCCUAAAAGUACGCCUUGCCCUUACCUGCUGCAGACAAAUAAAACAGACAAAAGGAUUAAGGUUUUUCAACCCAGAUAUGGUUU
rnacentral:rRNA from 1 species